rnacentral:rRNA from 1 species
GAUGAACGCUGGCGGCGUGCCUAAUACAUGCAAGUCGAGCGAACGGACGAGAAGCUUGCUUCUCUGAUGUUAGCGGCGGACGGGUGAGUAACACGUGGAUAACCUACCUAUAAGACUGGGAUAACUUCGGGAAACCGGAGCUAAUACCGGAUAAUAUUUUGAACCGCAUGGUUCAAAAGUGAAAGACGGUCUUGCUGUCACUUAUAGAUGGAUCCGCGCUGCAUUAGCUAGUUGGUAAGGUAACGGCUUACCAAGGCAACGAUGCAUAGCCGACCUGAGAGGGUGAUCGGCCACACUGGAACUGAGACACGGUCCAGGCUCCUACGGGAGGCAGCAAUAGGGAAUCUUCCGCAAUGGGCGGAAGCCUGACGGAGCAACGCCGCGUGAAUGAUGAAGGUCUUCGGAUCGUAAAACUCUGUUAUUAGGGAAGAACAUAUGUGUAAGUAACUGUGCACAUCUUGGCGGUACCUAAUCAGAAAGCCACGGCUAAAUACGUG